UACGUAGGGUGCGAGCGUUAAUCGGAGUUACUGGGCGUAAAGCGUGCGCAGGCGGUUUUGCAAGCCGGAUGUGAAAUCCCCGGGCUCAACCUGGGAAUGGCAUUUGGGACUGCAAGGCUCGAGUGCGGCAGAGGAGACUGGAAUUCCUGGUGUAGCAGUGAAAUGCGCAGAUAUCGGGAGGAACACCAGUAGCGAAGGCGGCACUCUGGGCCGUGACUGACGCUGAGGAGCGAAAGCGUGGGUAGCAAACAGG
rnacentral:rRNA from 1 species